GAGGGAGGCGAAUCUGUGAGGUCUGUUUUGUGUUGUUUCAAGCAGAACAGUGCUGCACAACUGCGUGUCUGUCCUCAGUGAGUGUACACUGAAAUAACAACAGGUUUUUUCAAGAUAACCAAUAGCGUUGACUACGUUUUCUAGAGACACCGCUGAUUUCCCUCCGAAAGUCGAGACAUGGAAAGAAGAGAGAAUAAAGUGUCCAACGUCUCCCCACAAAAACAGACAGUGAAAAAUAGAUCCAAGUCCACAGAGGAGGUACAGCAAGCCAAAAAGGCCUUUCAUACACCACAAAAAUCUCUUCCGGCUAAACCAGAAACCGAACAACUAGAGGAAACCUCAGAACUGAGUGCCUCAUCAGAGGAGUUAAAAUGAUUGUUGGAUUCAAACUUCGGGGCUUUGAGAUUUAGACAGAUCAACCGGAAUUAUGGGUAAUAACAAGAGGAUGAUUCAGUGUCUUUACUGAAUUCAGUGUUUUACUUUGUUUAGUUCAUAUAGAAGAAAACCAACAAUAAUCAUGUGUAGCUUCUUGAAUUUGUAUGAGUCUGUUUUGUUUGUGAAAUAAAUGGAUAUCACAGU